rnacentral:rRNA from 1 species
GAGGACGACCAGCCACACUGGGACUGAGACACGGCCCAGACUCCUACGGAGGCAGCAGUGGGAAUUUUGGACAAUGGGCGAAAGCCUGAUCCAGCAAUGCCGCGUGCAGGAUGAAGGCCUUCGGUUGUAAACUGCUUUUGUACGGAACGAAAAGGCUCUGGCUAAUACCUGGGGCACAUGACGGUACCGUAAGAAUAAGCACCGGCUAACUACGUGCCAGCAGCCGCGGUAAUACGUAGGGUGCGAGCGUUAAUCGGAAUUACUGGGCGUAAAGCGUGCGCAGGCGGUUUUUGUAAGACAGAGGUGAAAUCCCCGGGCUCAACCUGGGAACUGCCUUUGUGACUGCAAGGCUGGAGUGCGGCAGAGGGGGAUGGAAUUCCGCGUGUAGCAGUGAAAUGCGUAGAUAUGCGGAGGAACACCGAUGGCG